CUUUGUCAUGUGGAAUAGCCAUCAGGAGCUUAUGCCUGGGACAGCCCCCACAGGCUUAUGCAUGAAAGAAUUUGAUCUGAGAAAGAUCAUAGAUAUUUGGAUCUGAGAAAGAUCAUGGAUAUUUUGAUCCGAAAAAGAUCAUCGAUAUUUUGAUCCGAGAAAGAUCAUGAAUAUUUGAUCUGAGAAAGAUCAUGAAUGUUUGAUCCGAUAAAGAUCGUCGCA
rnacentral:lncRNA from 1 species